GCGUCUGUAGCUCAACGGAUAGAGCACCUGUCUUCGGAACAGGGAAUGAGGGUUCGAUUCCCCCCAGACGCA
rfam:Microgenomates (Woesebacteria) bacterium GW2011_GWC1_38_13 TS75_C0031, whole genome shotgun sequence.